AGUCUUAUAGUUAAUCUAUAACGUUAAAUUGCAAAUUUAAAAUUGGGACGCCCUAAGGCUU
rnacentral:tRNA from 1 species